rnacentral:rRNA from 1 species
UACAGAGGUGGCAAGCGUUGUUCGGAAUUACUGGGCGUAAAGGGCGCGUAGGCGGCCUUCUAAGUCAGACGUGAAAUCCCCCGGCUUAACCUGGGAACUGCGUCUGAUACUGGGAGGCUUGAGUAUGGGGGAGGGAUGUAGAAUUCCAGGUGUAGCGGUGAAAUGCGUAGAUAUCUGGAGGAAUACCGGUGGCGAAGGCGGCAUCCUGGACCAUAACUGACGCUGAGGCGCGAAAGCGUGGGGAGCAAACAGG